rnacentral:rRNA from 1 species
CCUACGGGAGGCAGCAGUGAGGAAUAUUGGUCAAUGGACGAGAGUCUGAACCAGCCAAGUAGCGUGAAGGAUGACUGCCCUAUGGGUUGUAAACUUCUUUUAUAUGGGACUAAAACAGGGUAUGCAUACCCUCUUGUAUGUACGUUAUGACUAAGAAUCGGCUAACUCCGUGCCGGCAGCGGCGGUAAUACGGAGGAUCCGAGCGUUCUCCGGAUUUAUUGGGUUUAAAGGGACCGUAGGUGGAUUGUUAAGUCAGUUGUGAAAGUGUGCGGCUCAACCGUAAAAUUGCAGUUGAUACUGGCAGUCUUGAGUACAGUAGAGGUGGGCGGAAGUCGAGGUGUAGCGGUGAAAUGCUUAGAGAUCACGAAGAACUCCGAUUGCGAAGGCAGCUCACUGGACUGCAACUGACACUGAUGCUCGAAAGUGUGGGUAUCAAACAGGAUUAGAUACCCCAGUAGUC